AAGAUGUGUAUCCUUGGUGGUUUGCUUGGUCUUAUAAUUGUUUCACAUUUCAGAUGCAGUCAUCAUUUACAUCUUCAGAGCAAGAGCUAGAGCGAUUAAGAAGAGAAAACAAAGAUAUUGAAAAUCUGAGGAGAGAACGAGAACAUUUGGAAAUGGAACUAGAGAAGGCAGAAAUUGAACGAUCUACCUAUGUUACAGAAGUCAGAGAGCUGAAAGAUCUGUUGACUGAAUUGCAGAAAAAACUUGAUGAUUCAUAUUCUGAAGCAGUAAGACAGAAUGAAGAGCUAAAUUUGUUGAAGACCCAGUUAAAUGAAACAGUCAUAAAACUUAAAACUGAACAAAGUGAAAGACAGAAGGUAGCUGGUGAUUUACAUAAGGUAAGGCUGCUUGACAUGGAGACACAAUAUUGUGAGCCUUUGUUGUGCCUUCUAUCUUAAGAAAAC
rnacentral:lncRNA from 1 species